UACGUAGGGGGCAAGCGUUGUCCGGAAUUAUUGGGCGUAAAGAGCGCGUAGGCGGCCCGGUAAGUCGGUUGUGAAAGUCAAGGGCUCAACCCUUGAAAGCCGGCCGAUACUGUCGGGCUAGAGUCCGGAAGAGGCGAGUGGAAUUCCCGGUGUAGCGGUGAAAUGCGCAGAUAUCGGGAGGAACACCUGAGGCGAAGGCGGGCUACUGGGCCGAUACUGACGCUGAUGCGCGAAGGCCAGGGGAGCGAACGGG
rnacentral:rRNA from 1 species